CCAGGAGCAUGUUAUCUGGUCUGCUGAGUAAAUACUGGGUCACUAUAUACGUGACCAUUGCUGAGUCAAGAUGUAAUGUCUCACAAGCAAUGUGUUUGUUUUAACAGGGUUCGUCUUCAAGGUGUGAUUUUGGCAGAAAAAAUAAGGCAAGAAGGCCAACUGCCUACCGUCCCCGGGCUUUGAACGCUCCUGUGGGAGUUCAAGUAUCGUCCCAGGGCAGGCUGCAGGAAGAGCUCCCAGAAGCAUAAAUAGAGCACACGCCGAUAAUUGCCACCCGAAUAGUAAACAGACAAUACAGGGAUUAUUUCCUGACUUCCUAUGAUGUGAAAAGGAAAGGUGGAAGUUUUUGAGGACUUGGAAUAACAGGAACUUAACCAUUAAUUUUGGAGAAGGCAAUGGCACCCCAGUCCAGCACUCUUGCCUGGAAAAUCCCAUAGACGGAGG